GGGAGCAAAGGGAGAUGGUGCGGUGGGGAAGAAGGGUGGGUGGGCUCAAGGGAGGAGUGGGGGUUGGGUUUUCUCAUGUGGGGUUGGGCUGCCUUUUUUCUUUACGCCGGGUCGUCGCGAUCCGGUUGAUGUGAAUAGCCUAGUGUUAUUAGAAUAAGACUUUUAAGGGAUGUUAUCAUAAUAAACCCACCAUAUAUAUAUAUAUGUAGGGUGGGGGUAUUCUAACAACGCCUCUUAUUCUGCACACAAUUCUUUAUUCUGCUAACACCUUCGACCCCGCCCUCACUCUCACCGUCUUCCUCUCUCCUCCCCACUUCCCCUCCUAAAACGCCCGACGCCUCCAGACACCACCAACAGCGCCCUCGCCGCCCCACCUAGCCCACUACCUUCCACGACUGGUGCGUCCCCAACCCCCUCCAACCGCCAGCGCGGCCCCGUGUACCACCGCGCUGCCCACCACCUCCCACCGAGCUGCCCGGCCACCACCACCCAGUGUGCCGGAUGCUGAUCUGCCCCGCCGCCAUGCCGGACAGCCAUAGCAGCACCGGCCCGGCGCCACCCCUCCUAACCGGCCUUCUUCAAUAGCCCGGCGACGCGCCGCCACAGCCAAGCCCGCCCCACGCACCGCCCAUGCUCACUCCAUUCCCCAAUGCACCACCUUCGAUCCGCCGGGAGGGGCCGCGCUGCCUUCCACCUUGCCCCGCCCCCGGCGAACGCCCUUUCUUCGCCGCGCCGGAGCUCCCUGCCAGCCGCGAGGCCAUGCUUGCGAUUUUGUUCCUCCCACCUUCUCGAUCUAUCGCCAGAUCUGUCGAUCCCGGCAGGGAGCCUUCCUCGAUCCACGCGCCAGAUCCCCCCUCUGCUCCUCUCCCCCGCUCAGCCACGGGGCCCGCUCUCAUGUCCACCGAUCGCUGUGGACUUCCUCUUUGGAGUGAACUGUAUGCGCAGCAAACCGUGCCGCCGGUGGAGACGUCAGCAACCUCGAAGCUCUGCUCUUUGGGGGAGUGAGCUCCUGCGCAUCGUGGUUGCCUGCUAGGCCCCGACGUCCAGCUCGUCUUCCGCGGCGACCGGAGAGGAAGUCCACUUCUUGGAGGAGCACAAAAAAAGUUCUACUGGUCGGAAUCAAAGGCUUGAAUGUGCAAUGCAGUCCGAUCCCAUGAGCAGCGCGCCACGCGCCCUCCUAUGGUCGCGCUCUCCGGCAUUUUGCGGCAAUGCGGCCGCGUGCAGCUCAAUUGCGUCAUUUCUGCAGUCAACGCGGCCGCUUGUGGUUCCAUGGCGUCCUCUUUCAAUCCCACCACCACUGGGCUUCGCGGGUGCCCGGCCGUCCGACGUGCGGAUGGGUGUGGUAUGCAGUUUACUUGGUGUCGGCAGGAGGUUCUCUAGCUGGCCGCUGGGAGACCUUUGCGGCUGAAAACAAUUUGGAGUUCAGUUUUGCGGUGAAGUGCAUAUGUAAAAGUACAGAAUGGGCGUGUGUUCUGGAGCAGCUCAUUUUUGUUUGCAUUUAAAAAAAAGGUUAUGCAUUGUGCACUGCACUUAACUUUCAGGGUGCAUGCAGUGCAGCAGGGCGGCCUAUGCAGUGCGGCACUCACGGCCGUGUGUGUUACUGAAGCGCGGGUCUUUUUCUCUGAUUUUUUAUACUCAUGAGUACACAGUUUUAUUUGGUGCAGUUCAAUGCUUUGAUCACGGAACGAAAACCGUACCUAUAACAAAUUGUUGUGUGCAGCGCACUUCUUUUGGGAUGAGAGAAAACAUAAGUGCAAAUGUGAUCCACUAA